GAUUGGAGGAGGAGUUAUUCGUGGAACUAAGUCAAAGGACUUUAUGUCCCAACAAGCACCUGACAACAGACAGUUCCAAAGCAUGACGCCAAUGCUGUACAACAGUGUGGAACAUACAACAGCCUCAACAGAUAUCUUCUCUCCUGCCCCUCUUAGGAUUCCAGGUAGCAAUAUCCAACUGAGAUCUAUAGACGAAAUUC